UUGCCGCGGAUCAGAAUGAAACUGGCUGGAAGAUACAGGGCUUUUGGCUUUGGAAGCAAAUGCUGUCUGCUUAUUUGCUGUGACCUUUCCCAAGUCCAUCCAGAGGCCUGGGCCUCUGUUUUCUCAGCUGUAACAUGAAGGCCUCCUGGCCUGGUAGAAAGCGCUCUGGAUGCAGUGUCGGAUGCACCUGAGUUCAAAUCCUGCCUUUGCCACUCCCCGUGUGAGCAAGUCCCUUCCUCACUCCCGGCAUCAGUUUUUUCACUUGUAAAGUGCCGGAGCUGGAAUCUGAGGUCCCUGUGUGGUCUUAUCCAGUGCGUGGGAUCCCGUUACUUUGACUCAUUUUCCUUCUCCAGAUCAUUCGGUCUCUCCUUAGUUUUAAACUUCACACUGACGCUCCAGGCAUACCGAUCUCGUUAGGCUAUGAGCAAACAAGAAAGUCCUUCCCCCCGCCCCCCCGCCUUAAAAUUAAACUGUGCCCCCCAAAAAAAAUCCGACUGGGAGGAAAAACAACAACUUUCUUGUUUGCUCAGAGCUUUCACACCAUAUUAAGCAGUGAGGUGGAAGGGUCUGAUUAAAGAAGCAAGUGGUAACCGAGCUAAUUAAUUAUGUUUGAGCGGCUGCUCCAGUUCGUAGGGGGAGCCUGAUGACCCACGCCACACCUGCACGCUUUUACAAGCAGGAACAGCACAGGACAGGAGGCCUUACCCUUGGACGCCAGCCCAGAGGUUGAGCGCCUCCAGAAAAUCAGACAACGGCGUGCACUUUUUUCUCUUGCUCACCGACGGGUGCCUUGCAGGCCUUUCGGAUACCCUGGGAGGGGGCUGGAUUGAAUGAGGAGAGGCACACCAUUCCUGGACUGAUCUGGAGGAAAGGAGCUCUUUGGCCUUGGGGAGACGCAGCUCCGUGCAAGGAAGUCACCAGUUGCUACCAAAAUACCAAGGAAGAAUAAAAAGUUUCCUUGCUGGGCAAAGAGUCUUCCUGAACUUUUCUUAACCUAAUCACAUCUUGCCUGGUGGAGAAAAGGAUCUGAAACUCUUCCAGUACAUGAGACCGAAGAAUCGGAGGACUAACAUCGCUUACAAAGAAAAGAUGGAUUUCUGGCAUUCCUCUGUCUGGUUUCCUGAAGCUAUGCAGCUCAACUUUUGUUAAUUGCACAUCCUGUUCUUUGAUCAGCUCUUCCUUUCGUUUCAUCGUUUUGAUGAAGGCAUUUAAGGCUAUAAAAUGUCACCUGAGCU